GUGUUCUUCUCUAUAGACCCCCAGGAACAGGGAAGACAUUGCUAGCCAGAGCAAUUGCAAGCAACAUAGAUGCUAACUUUCUAAAGAUACUUCUCAAUGCCUUACUCACUCCCCAAACUUGAUAUGGUUGCGGUUCCUAAAUUUUCUGGUGGGGCCAUGGAGAAUUAUGGUUUAAUCACAUACCGAGAAAAUGAACUGCUUUUUGUUUCCUGAGUGGAAAGUUUGGUCUCAAUUUAGGUACAAUUAUGGCCACCGAUAUUUUGUUUCCUGAGUGGAAAGUUUGGACUCAAUUUCUUCAACAAACUACUGAUGGACUAAUUAUGGAUGCGCUGGAACAUUCACAUUUAAUUCAGGUCUACACCACGCACGUUCAGUUCUUGAAAUAUUCGAUGCUAUCAACUAUAAAAAGGGAUCUGCUGUUAUAUGAAUGUUGUAGGCUUAUCUUGGUGAUGAUGUGUUCCAGUCAUUCUAGGUUGCUGGCGAUGUUACAAAGAUUGAUAUUCUGAAAGUCACCCUCAUGUUGAGAAAUGGCAGACCAAGAACCGAGGCAAACUGAAAGAGCAAAAGAAGCCUAAACUUAGCCUAGAGUGUACAAACGGGCAGUCCAUUUCUACUAUUAAAUUUUCAAGCUUCAGUACUCCACCUAGAAGCUAUGGAAACUAUAACCAUGGUACUUGUCACGCUCCAAACUCUACCCAUGUGCUAAAUAAGGUAUCCUCACAGUAGUGUCACGCUGCUACUGUUUUGCUUCAGUUCAGGGUCAAAGUUUUCCCAUUUACCCAAGUUCAAGAUCAAUAAAACCUUGGGGUCAAACUUACAGUCAUGCUAGCUAUUUUGCUAUGUUGUUUACUUGGUUGCUCGGAUUGUGUAGUGCUUCUAGUUUAUUAGCUGUAGUACUGCAUGCAUAUAUUUUGCUGGCUGCCCAGAUUAGUAGAUAUGGGCCAUUUUGGGCUGAUGCUCAUGAUUAGGUUUGUGUA